GUAAUGUGAUGAGUGAAUGAUGAAACUGAAAAGAAGAAGAAUAAAGACAUCUUUUGUGAGGACAUGAAAAGUUGAACUAUUCUUGUCACAACCCUUUGUUUUACGUAGCAGAAGGAUUUACCGGAUCUUGUGUGAGAUGAAGCGGUGGCUCGGUGAAGGCGACACUUAAAUGAGCCAGGGUGGGUAGCGGGUGCACAUACACAAUGCUUCAACACCGACACUGGAACUGAUACGAAGAACAAAACACAUGAUUUGUGAGAACACGAAGAAACUGAACGUUUCUUAUCAGAACCCUUUUUUCAUCAUAACAGAAGUAUUUUACCGGUUCUGGGGUAAGAUGAAGAGGUGGCUCGGUGGAGGCGACACUUGAAUGAGCCAGGGUGGGUGGGAGGAGCGCAUAGGCAAAAAUUCAUUGAUGCUGCAGCACUACCGGUAGCUUUGGACUUGCUGAUUCUUUCUUUUUUCUUGUUCA
rnacentral:lncRNA from 1 species